rnacentral:rRNA from 1 species
UAAUACUAGCGGUCCAAGUCGCAGCCAUUUUUAUUGGGUCUAAAACAUCCGUAGCUCGUUCGGUGAGUUUCCUGUGAAAUCUUAUCUCUCAAAGAUAAGGCGUGCGGGAAGUACUGCCGAACUAGAGACCGGAAGACGUAGGAAGUACGUUCAAAGUAGUGGUAAAAUACUUUAAUCUUGGACGGACUCACAAUAGCGAAGGCAUCCUACGAGUACGGUUCUGACAGUAAGGGAUGAAGGCUAGGGGCGCAAAACGGAUUAGAUACCCGUGUAGUCCUAGCAGUAAACACUGCACACUAAACAUCAGUACCUCCUCGAGAGGUAUUGGUGCUGCAGGGAAGCCGAAGAGUGUGCUACCUGGGAAGUAUAGUCGCAAGGCCG